rnacentral:rRNA from 1 species
CAUGCAAGUCAAGGAGAACAUUUUCUUCGGAAAAUUAUUAAACUGGCGAACGGGUGAGUAACACGUAGGUAACCUGCCUUGAAGAUUGGGAUAACUCCGGGAAACCGGAGCUAAUACCGAAUAAUGCAGCGAAUCCAUAGGGAUAUGUUGUUAAAGCGGGCUUCGGCUCGCACUUCGAGAUGGGCCUGCGGCCGAUUAGCUUGUUGGUGAGGUAAUGGCUCACCAAGGCGAUGAUCGGUAGCUGGUCUGAGAGGAUGAUCAGCCACACUGGGAUUGAGAUACGGCCCAGACUCCUACGGGAGGCAGCAGUGGGGAAUUUUGCGCAAUGGACGAAAGUCUGACGCAGCAACGCCGCGUGGUUGAUGAAGCUUUUAGGAGUGUAAAGAUCUGUCGUGAGGGAAGAAAAACCUGGAUGUAAAUAAUGUUCAGGCGUGACGGUACCUCACAAGAAAGCACCGGCUAACUUCGUGCCAGCAGCCGCGGUAAUACGAGGGGUGCUAGCGUUGUCCGGAAUUACUGGGCGUAAAGGGUCCGUAGGCGUCUUGACAAGUUGAUCGUUAAAUCCACCGGCUUAACCGGUGAUCUGCGGUCAAAACUUGCAGGAUAGAAUAUGUGAGAGGAAAGUAGAAUUCCUGGUGUAGCGGUGACAUGCGUAGAUAUCAGGAGGAACACCAAUGGCGAAGGCAGCUUUCUGGCACAAUAUUGACGCUGAGGGACGAAAGCGUGGGGAGCGAACAGGAUUAGAUACCCUGGUAGUCCACGCCGUAAACGAUGAGUACUUGGUGGUGGGAGAUUCGACCCUCUCACUAUCGGAGCUAACGCGUUAAGUACUCCGCCUGGGGACUACGGCCGCAAGGCUGAACUCAAGGAAUUGACGGGGACCCGCACAGCGGUGGAACAUGUGUUUAUUCAUGCACGCGAGACUUACUGACUGACAUGUAGUGAAUCCAUGAAAUGGGACUCUGCGAGCUGCUCAAGACCUAUCACAGGUGGUGCAUGCUGUCGUCAGCUCGUGUCGUGAGAUGUGGGUUAGUCCCGCCACGAGCGCACCCCUGUCUAGCUGGCGGCACUAAGGUGGGACUCUAAAAGACUGCUGGUAAACAGAGAAGAGGGGAGAAGGUCAGUCGAAGUUCCUUUAUGUCAGGGGCUAACACGGUUCAUGGGCCGCCCCAAUGGGGUGACCUGCAGGGGUAGGCAAUUCCAAACACGCCGCUUGCAAAUAUGAAC